ACAGUUUACUGGUCACCUGCACUAACAGCCUGAGAGAAAAGGACACUGCAUAUCACAGAGAGAUGCAUAGAUGUUACACUCAGAAAGAGAGUGAACAACUAGAAGAUGUGGAAGAACCAGUUUGGCUCUGGAGUCAAGAAUUCUCAAAACAGCUUUCUGAACCUGAAUCGCACGCAGUAAAGCUGGUGUUCUCCUGAAGCCAACAUUUAUGGUAUCACCUUGCUGAUCCAGGCAAAAUGGCAAAAGUGUAGUGAACAUAAAGCCAGGGGCUGAGAUUGUGGAUGUCCUCUGUACCAAGUUUCUUAUUAUGAAAAUUCCAAGGGCCAAUUUUGAAACAAACCAGGCAGAGACCCAGAUGCAGAAUCCUGCAGGCUGAGGGAUGUUAGGAAGAGUUAGCCCACCACUGCUGCGCUGAAACCAGGAUGACGCAAACUGGGCCUCAGGCCAGUAGAUCAAUAAACCAAACUCCCUGUCACCUCAGACUCUGCACCUGUUAAAGCCCUGUAAAGAGCCGACAUGCUUAGAAUAUAAACUGACACCUUGAAGAAGUGACCAUCUUGUAAUCAACACUUUAUUCUAAGGAUAACAGAGAUAAAUGAUAUAAGGAUCUCUGUUUCUUAAUGGCAUUGUUGAGCCCUAAACUUUCUACUGCUAGAUAUUUUAUCGCAUGAAAUAAAUAAGCCUUAGUUGCUUAAAAUAUUUUUCAGGGAUUUCUAUUUUGGUAGGCAAGUAUAUUGUUAACUUAUACAAUGCACAGUUGUAUAAGUUAUGUGGACAUGGAAUUAUGCACAAAACAGAAUCUAAAUGGUGGAAUUGGAAAUGCAAUAGGUAGGGUAUAUCAGGAAAUGAGAAUCCUGCCACUAUAGGCUAGAACGUUG
rnacentral:lncRNA from 1 species